rnacentral:rRNA from 1 species
AUUGAACGCUGGCGGAAUGCUUUACACAUGCAAGCCGAACGGCAGCACGGGGCAACCUGGUGGCGAGUGGCGAACGGGUGAGUAAUACAUCGGAACGUGCCCAAUCGUGGGGGAUAACGUAGCGAAAGUUACGCUAAUACCGCAUACGAUCUACGGAUGAAAGCGGGGGAUCGCAAGACCUCGCGCGAAUGGAGCGGCCGAUGUCAGAUUAGGUAGUUGGUGGGGUAAAGGCUCACCAAGCCAACGAUCUGUAGCUGGUCUGAGAGGACGACCAGCCACACUGGAACUGAGACACGGUCCAGACUCCUACGGGAGGCAGCAGUGGGGAAUUUUGGACAAUGGGCGCAAGCCUGAUCCAGCCAUUCCGCGUGCAGGAUGAAGGCCUUCGGGUUGUAAACUGCUUUGUACGGUAACGAAACGGUACCUGGUUAAUACCUGGGCGUAAUGACGGUACCGUAAGAAUAAGC